UACAGAGGUCUCAAGCGUUGUUCGGAUUCAUUGAGCGUAAAGGGCGCGUAGGCGGCGGGGUAAGUCGGGUGUGAAAUCUCAGGGCUCAACCCUGAAACUGCACUCGAUACUGCUCUGCUUGAGGACUGGAGAGGAGACUGGAAUUCACGGUGUAGCAGUGAAAUGCGUAGAUAUCGUGAGGAAGACCAGUGGCGAAGGCGGGUCUCUGGACAGUUCCUGACGCUGAGGCGCGAAGGCCAGGGGAGCAAACGGG
rnacentral:rRNA from 1 species